rnacentral:rRNA from 1 species
GACAGAGGUGCCGAGCGUUAGGCGGAAUCACUGGGCUUAAAGCGUGUGUAGGCGGAUCCGUAAGUACCUUGUGAAAUCCCACGGCUCAACCGUGGAACUGCUCGGCAUACUGCGGGUCUUGAGCCACUUAGGGGCAACCGGAACAAACGGUGGAGCGGUGAAAUGCGUAGAUAUCGUUUGGAACGCCGAUGGUGAAAACAGGUUGCUGGGAGUGCGCUGACGCUGAGACACGAAAGCCAGGGGAGCGAACGGG